CGAAGGGGGCGAGCGUUAUUCGGAAUCACUGGGCGUAAAGCGUGCGUAGGCUGUUUGGCAAGUUGGAAGUGAAAGCCCAGGGCUCAACCCUGGAAUUGCUUUCAAAACUGCCAAACUAGAAUCUCGGAGAGGAUAGCGGAAUUUCCAGUGUAGUAGUGAAAUACGUAGAUAUUGGAAGGAACACCAGUGGCGUAAGCGGCUAUCUGGACGAGCAUUGACGCUGAGGCACGAAGGCGUGGGGAUCAAACAGGAUUAGAUACCCUGGUAGUCCACGCUGUAAACGAUGCGAGUUUGUCGCUGGGGGGUUCACCCUUCGGUGACGUAGUUAACACGAUAAACUCGCCGCCUGGGAAGUACGGCCGCAAGGUUA
rnacentral:rRNA from 1 species